GAGCUUCAUUUUGCAGCACGUCUACUAAAAUUAGAAACCUACAAAGAUUAUUAUGGCUCCUGACUAAGAACGACAUGAAAAUCAAGAAAUGUUUCAUACUUUU
ensembl:snRNA U6 U6 spliceosomal RNA